UGUGGCUUCAGUCUUCCAGUCUCGUCCAGUGUUUCGUCUUGCAUUUUUCCUGCCCUUGGUGUUUUGGAUUACCUGUGUUGGAUUUCUGUUUCGUUUCUCAUUUGGCUUUUUCUGGACUCAGCCACUCGGGGUAUCUAUGAGAAGAGGUGGAGACACACAGAGAAGAUUAGGAGAUGGAAGAAGAAGAAGUUGGAGUGAGCAGGAGCGUCCCCGCUGGUGGUGAGAGUAUUGUUGGCAGCUGUGCUGUUGUUGUUGCUGGUGGAGGCUGGAGAUAAGAACAUCCCCACUGUCUGAGUCAGGAAGGUACCAAAGCUGCUCACUUUGGUGAAGACCAUCACUGGAUCUGCUCGUGUUUGACUGGUGCUGUUGUUCUUAACUGACAACACUGCUGCCUGGAACCAAGAGCUGCCCUGCUUACACAUCACUGGACCGCCAGCAUCACCCUGAACAAACAAGAAAAACGGAUAUGUUCAAGUCCACCUUUAUGUGAAACUACAGAAAAUAAUGUUGUUUUCAUCAUCACUACA